GUCGCCCUUGAAAUCCGAGUGAGGGAGUGUGAUUUUCGUGCCGGACCGUACCCACAUCCGCAGCAGGUCUCCAAGGUGAACAGCCUCUAGUCGAUGGACCAAUGUAGGUAAGGGAAGUCGGCAAAACGGAUCCGUAACCUUGGGAUAAGGAUUGGCUCUGAGGACUGAGCCGGUCGGGCUGGGGACCUGAAGCAGGAACGGCACUGCACCGGGACUGGGCGGGGCUCGCCGUUCACGCGGCGCGGCCAAGCCCGGACCAGCGUCGGGACCUUCCUGUGGAAAGCCUCAGCUGCGCGGCGUCUGAGGGCUUCGUGCCCAAAGUGCUAUGCUUCGGCCGGCAAAAAACAGUCAACUCAGAACUGGCACGGACCGGGGGAAUCCGACUGUCUAAUUAAAACAAAGCAUUGCGAUGGCCGCUGGUCGGUGUUGACGCAAUGUGAUUUCUGCCCAGUGCUCUGAAUGUCAACGUGAAGAGAUUCAUCAAAGCGCGGGUAAACGGCGGGAGUAACUAUGACUCUCUUGUUUCCUAUGGCAUGCACGCCUUGGAUUUCGGGGUGAGAGCAGAUGGUUACUUGCUUGCGCAAAGCCGAACUCCCACCUGCACGUGGUGCCCGCCGCAGGACUAGUGAGCCUAAAGGGGGUGCAUCCCUGGCGAACUCGUUCUCAACGGGAGCUCUCGCACCCUUCUGGGGGGGACGACCCUGCCCCCUCCGCCGGCUUGGCGAAUUGUUUCACUACUUUCUGUAGACCCUGACCGAGUGGUCGGGGUUCCAAGUCUGGAGUCCUGGCCGUCUGCCCUUAUGACGCCAUAA
rnacentral:ncRNA from 1 species